AUGCACGGUGAAGUCGCCGUCGACCAGCUCAAACGUGUUGAUGAGCACAUCGGAGACCUCAGCGCCGGACACACGUGGUCGGUUGCCGGUGAUGGAGGCGACCAUGGCGCGGCUAAGGACGUCCUCCGCCUCCAUCUCGACGGAGUGGGCCAUGAUCACCCGCACGGGCUCGGGCUCCGGCGCGCGAGGAGGGGGCGCUGUGACCAGGGCGGUCACCAGUGGCAGGGGUGGCGGCGUAGGCGCGGCCCGGCGCGGCGGGGGUGGCGGCGGGGGGGCGGUCUGGCGCGUGGCCGCAUCCGCGGCAGAGGGGCCGGCGUUGGUGGCGCGGGCACGUUCGGUGGCGUCGCGGCGCCUGUUCUCGCAGGAGCGAGAGUCGUGGCCAGAUUCGAGGCAUCGGCGACAGCGGAUGUCGUUGGUGCAGUCUCUGAUCCGGUGGCGAUGGUCGAGGCAGCGGAAGCAGAGCCCCGCGACCUCCUCCGGCGACGGGCUGCGCCGUCGCAGCGGCGGAGGGCUUGGCCCGGCCGAGGAGCGCGGGUGGUUGCCGCGGUGCCUGCGCCGCGGCUGCUGGAACCCGUCGGCAUCAACCUGAACUCCGCCGGAGAUGCGAUGCACCUCGGAGCGGGGGCCGAGGCGGGUUGCGGCAGGCUGUCGAGGGGGCGCCAGGGCGGGCAGCGCCAUAGGCGCCGGUGCAGAAGCCGGCGGGGUCCGGGCGACGUCGCUGUAGGAACGCGGCGAGGACUCGCUCUCCGACUCGAACCCGCUGCCCCCAGAGGACACGCGGUCGCAGUCAGAGAGGGUCGCUCGGCGCCCAGCAGGGUCAGCGCCGGAGGAAGCCAUGGCGGGUGCCGCGGGGAGGGGAGCUGGAGGGGGCUCGCGGUGGGGUGGAGGGCCGCCGGCGGGGAAUCGGCGACAGCGGGGCUAGAGGAGGGAAGGAGCUAG
rnacentral:rRNA from 1 species